AGUCGACCCCUAAGGCGAGGCCGAAAGGCGUAGUCGAUGGGAAAAUGGUUAAUAUUCCAUUACUUCUGUGUAAUGCGAUGAGAGGACGGAGAAGGCUAAAUCAGCCUGGCGUUGGUUGUCCAGGUGAAAGGAUGUAGGCAUGUAUCUUAGGCAAAUCCGGGGUACUCUAUGCUGAGAUCUGAUAGCAAGCUGUACUUGUACAGCGAAGUGGUUGAUGCCAUGCUUCCAGGAAAAGUCUCUAAGCUUCAGUUACACAGGAAUCGUACCCGAAACCGACACAGGUGGUCAGGUCGAGUAGACCAAGGCGCUUGAGAGAACUCUGCUGAAGGAACUAGGCAAAAUGGUACCGUAACUUCGGGAGAAGGUACGCUGUUGUUGGUGAUGGAACUCGCUUCCUGAGCUGACGACAGCCGCAGAAACCAGGCCGCUGCAACUGUUUAUUAAAAACAUAGCACUCUGCAAACACGAAAGUGGACGUAUAGGGUGUGAUGCCUGCCCGGUGCUGGAAGGUUAAUUGAUGGGGUUAGCGUAAGCGAAGCUCUUGAUCGAAGCCCCAGUAAACGGCGGCCGUAACUAUAACGGUCCUAAGGUAGCGAAAUUCCUUGUCGGGUAAGUUCCGACCUGCACGAAUGGCAUAAUGAUGGCGGCGCUGUCUCCAGCAGAGGCUCAGUGAAAUCGAAAUCGCUGUGAAGAUGCAGUGUACCCGCGGCUAGACGGAAAGACCCCGUGAACCUUUACUGCAGCUUGACACUGAACUUUGACCUUACUUGUGUAGGAUAGGUGGGAGGCUUUGAAGCUGGAACGCUAGUUCCAGUGGAGCCGUCCUUGAAAUACCACCCUGGUAAUGUUGAGGUUCUAACUCUGUCCCGUGAUCCGGGACGAGGACCGUGUCUGGUGGGUAGUUUGACUGGGGCGGUCUCCUCCUAAAGAGUAACGGAGGAGUACGAAGGUGCGCUCAGCGUGGUCGGAAAUCACGCGUAGAGUAUAAAGGCAAAAGCGCGCUUAACUGCGAGACCCACAAGUCGAGCAGGUACGAAAGUAGGUCUUAGUGAUCCGGUGGUUCUGUAUGGAAGGGCCAUCGCUCAACGGAUAAAAGGUACUCUGGGGAUAACAGGCUGAUACCGCCCAAGAGUUCAUAUCGACGGCGGUGUUUGGCACCUCGAUGUCGGCUCAUCUCAUCCUGGGGCUGAAGCAGGUCCCAAGGGUAUGGCUGUUCGCCAUUUAAAGAGGUACGCGAGCUGGGUUUAGAACGUCGUGAGACAGUUCGGUCCCUAUCUACCGUGGGCGCUGGAAAUUUGAGAGGAUCUGCUCCUAGUACGAGAGGACCAGAGUGGACGAACCUCUGGUGUACCGGUUGUGACGCCAGUCGCAUCGCCGGGUAGCUAUGUUCGGAAGGGAUAACCGCUGAAAGCAUCUAAGCGGGAAGCCUACCUCAAGAUAAGAUUUCCCUAGGACUUUAUGUCCUCUAAAGAGCCGUUCGAGACUAGGACGUUGAUAGGUUGGAUGUGGAAGCAUAGUGAUAUGUGAAGCUGACCAAUACUAAUUGCUCGUGAGGCUUGACUAU
rnacentral:rRNA from 1 species